rnacentral:rRNA from 1 species
UCUUAAUCUCAACUCAAGUAGGACCACCCACUGAAUUUAAGCAUAUUAAUAAGUGGAGGAAAAGAAACUAACAAGGAUUCUCCUAGUAGCGGCGAGUGAACAGAGAUAAGCCCAGAUUUGGAAUCGCCUUGCCACAUGGCUCGAGCGAGUUGUAUUCUGGAGAUGUGGCCUGGGGGGGUGACUGUGCUGCGGCAACUAACCUGGAAUGGUUGGGCAUAGGGGGUGAUACCCCCGUUGCUGCGGCAUGCUUUCCCCCACUAUGUCAUCAUCGAUGAGUCGAGUUGUUUGGGAACGCAACUCUAAUCUUGAGGUGGUAAGCGCCAUCUAAGGCUAAAUAUGGAUGAGAGACCGAUAGCAAACAAGUACCGUGAGGGAAAGUUGAAAAGCACUCUGAAGAGAGAGUGAAAUAGUACGUGAAAUUGUUAGGAGGUGAAGGAAAGGCACCGCUGGAGUGAUACGUCACGGUCAGGAUUAGAUGGAGGCACUGGAUACGUACUGCGGCAGUGACUGCUUUGGCUGCGGCCUUGGCGGUACCCCAGCUACUUCAGGUGUUUCUGUCUAAGGUCUGCCACAGUUGGGGGCAACCCCAGUCUAUGCUGUGAAGGAUGCUGGCUUGAAGCAGGGGUGCAUUUCACCCGUCUUGAAACACGGACCAAGGAGUCUAACAAGGAUGCAAGUAGGCGAAUAGUUAUAUUCAACUGCGGAAUGGAAGUGAUUGUGUGAGAGGAUACCCCUGGGUGGCACUCUUAUCUGGACUGGGAAGCAUGCGGCCCGGUCCAAGACUUAGCAUCUUUGCUAGGACCCGAAAGAUGGUGAACUAUGCUUGAAUAGGAUAAAGUCAGAGGAAACUCUGAUGGAAGUCCGGCGAGGUUUUGACGUGCAAAUCAAUCUUCUGAUUUGGGCAUAGGGGCGAAAGACUAAUCGAACCAUCUAGUAGCUGGUUCCUGCCGAAGUUUCCCUCAGGAUAGCAGAAACAGUAGAGUUUUGUGUGGUAAAGCGAAUGAUUAGAGGCCUUGGGGGUCAAAGAUCCUUAACCUAUUCUCAAACUUUGAAUGCGCAAGGGGUGCAUGUACUUAUGUGACAUCUCCCCCUAAAUCAAGUGUUUCUAGUGGGCCAUUUUUGGUAAGCAGAACUGGCGAUGCGGGAUGAACCGAAAGUGUUGCUAAGGUGCCCUAGUGUACGCAUAUUUUGGAGCCCACAAAAGGUGUUGGUUCAUCUAGACAGCAGGACGGUGGCCAUGGAAGUCGGAAUCCGCUAAGGAGUGUGUAACAACUCACCUGCCGAAUGAAGCAGCCCUGAAAAUGGAUGGCGCUUUAGCGUAUCACCGAUGCAACACCCAUUGAGUUUCCUAUUGUGCUUAGUGGAGUAGGCAGGCGUGAAGGCUCCUGCAUAGAAGUGACAGUGGUAGCAUGUCAUGGAGCAGCCUUUAGUGCAGAUCUUGGUAGUAGUAGCAAGUAUUCAAAUCAGAGGUUUGAAGACUGAAGUGGAGAAAGGUUCCUCUGGAAGGGCAAUCCGCAGAGGGUAAGUCGAUCCUAAGAGGGUGGGUAAUUCCAGCCACAGGGGUGCCUUAUAACACCCUGCCUCGAAAGGGAAUCCGGUUAAUAUUCCGGAACUGAGAUGUAGAUAUUGACUGCGGCAACGCAAGUGAACCCAAAGACCCCAGGGGGUAGGUGCGGAAGAGUUUUCUUUUCUUUUUAACAGGUAGAGGUCUGGAUAGUGUUGUGCAAACAAUGCAGUCUUACUCUUUUGAAUUUCCCUGGAAUGUAGUUGCUACGCGAAGGGGAAGUUUACCUGGCAGAGUUUACCCCGUGUAAAUCGCACUGUGCCCCAUGGGCCUUGAAAAUUUGGGGGACCUGAUCUUAUCAAUUCUACGCUUAGUCGUACUCACCACCGCAUCAGGUCUCCAAGGUGAAUAGCCUCUAGUUUACGGCGUAAUGUGAGUAAGGGAAGUCGGCAAACUGGAUCCGUAACUUCGGGAGAAGGAUUGGCUCGGGUGGGACUAUAUGUUCCAGACUCGAACUGAGACUAUCCAGGGGAAUCCAACUGUCUAAUUAAAACAUAGCUUUGUGAUGGUUCAUGUGAAUGUUGACACAAAGUGAUUUCUGCCCAGUGCUCUGAAUGUCAAUGUGAAGAAAUUCAACUAAGCGCGGGUAAACGGCGGGAGUAACUAUGACUCAACCUAGAGGGUCGUGAAAGCCUCCUGAGAGGGGUGGCUAGUGGUAGUGUAGCAAUGAUCGUGACCUAGUAUUGCGUGAUGGGGGCUGCUCUAUUGCGACAUCAUCAAAUUGCGGGAAACCCCUAAAGCUCUUGAUACCAAGCUGUGGUAGAAAUACCACGGUGGCCAGGGUAAUGACCUCGGGUAUGGUAACAACUCAGGAGAUGUACAAUGGGCAAUCCGCAGCCAAGUCCUGGGGUGAUCUGGGGGCAGUGUCGCAUCAUGUGACUUUGUCCCCAGGCACUAUGGAUGCAGUUCAACGACUAGAUGGUGAUGGGUGGAGACCUUGUGUUUCUGCUUAAGAUAUAGUCUGGCCCCAGGGAAACCUGGCUCUGAGGUAUAGCAGGGGACUCCCCCCCUUGUAAGCUCAGAGGUGAGACCCCGUCUCUGGAAGUAUGCUCUUAAGGUAGCCAAACGCCUCGUCAUCUAAUUAGUGACGCGCAUGAAUGGAUGAAUGAGAUUCCCACUGUCCCUACUUACGCACCGGCGAAACUACAGUCAAGGGAACGGGCUUGAGAUAGCAUCAGCGGGGAAAGAAGACCCUGUUGAGCUUGACUCUAGUUUGACGCUGUUUAGAGACGUGGGGGGUGUAGCGUAGGCGGGAGAUGCUUGCAUCGCCAUUGAAACACCGCCACCCCCACUGUCUCUUUACUUAGAUAGAUAAGGGAGAUGCUUAUAGAGCACACUGCUUCGUGCAGUAAUCCUCACUAUUGAUUUCGCCAGAUUGGGAGUUUGGCUGGGGCGGCACAUCUGUUAAACAAUAACGCAGGUGUCCCAAGGAGAGCUCAAUGAGAACAGAAAUCUCAUGUAGAACAAAAGGGUAAAAGCUCUCUUGACUUGGACUCCCAGUGCGAGUUCAAGCCAUGAAAGUGGGGCCUAUCGAUCCUUUGUGUGCUUAUUUCUUAGUGCUUAAGACCAGAGGUGUCAGAAAAGUUACCACAGGGAUAACUGGCUUGUGGCAGCCAAGCGCUCAUAGCGACGUUGCUUUUUGAUCCUUCGAUGUCGGCUCUUCCUAGCGUACUGAAGCAGAAUUCAGUAAGCGUCAGAUUGUUCACCUGCUAACAGGGAACGUGAGCUGGGUUUAGACCGUCGUGAGACAGGUUAGUUUUACCCUACUGGAGCAGAUUAAAGUGCCACAACAGUAAUUCAACUUAGUACGAGAGGAACCGUUGAUUCAGACCUCUGGUAU